rnacentral:snRNA from 1 species
AUACCUUUCUUGGCCUUUUGGCUAAGAUCAAGUGUAGUAUUUGUUUUUAUCUGUUUAAUAUAUGAUACAUGGUUCAUAGAACCAGGGGAGGGCCCACCCACAAUAUCUUGCUAUUGGGGCUCUCAGGCGUCGCUUGUGCAUUGCACUCUAGCACUAGCCUAGUGCACCCCAA